GCGAAAGAGAUAUCAGUCAGGAUCAAGUCAAUCUUCAGUCGUUCAAAGAUCUCUCUCUGUGACUGGAUGCAAUUAAUUUACAGAUUUUCAAAGGGCCUACGACUGUGCCAGAUUGAUAUGAUCGAUGACAACAUUGCAGCAGCAAGCUCAACAACCCUUACUAAAAUGGCAAAAAAGCUACGGGAGGUCUGUGUCACAGCAGUUGAGAAAAUUAGAAGGUGUAGAGGUCAGCAGAUCGGUGGAAGAAGAUAAUUUGUUGUUAUUGAUGAGAGCCAUUUUCAGCACAAAAGAAAGUAUGCGAGGGGAAGAAUGGCUAGAGGGUGGAAGAGGAAGAAGUGUCUCUUUGGAAUGGUGAGUGUGCGGCAUCAAGGAUGAAGAAAAGGGAAGCCUAUUCUGCGCCUUGUGGAGAGAAGAUCUCGAAGAUACCUAGUCCCCUUGAUUGCCCAUCACGUGAGGCCUGGAUCAUCAGUUAUCAGUGACGAGUAUGGGUGCUUAUCGUGUACUCCCUGCACUAGGGUACAACCAACACACAGUCAACCACAGCAGCUGGUAUGGAGACGCCCACACUGGAGUCCAUACCCAGCACAUUGAGAGGGCCUGGUGAACCUACAAGGAGCAGAUAUUGAGGCUAAGGGGAAAUCGGACUGAGAGUUUACUUUCUGACAACCUUACUGUGAUUGAGUGGAAUGAAUGGCCCGCAAAAAAACACUGUCAUGGUCCCCUUGGAAGAAUAAUUCAUGAAAUCACAAUUGUCAGACGAAACUCAGCGUUUUUUGCGACACAAUGUACCACAGCAAUACAGGCAGAGGCUAUAAUCAAGGCCUAUAAGGCAUCUGGAAACCUCCAUUUUCGCUCUUGGAUAGUGGCUAGUGGAUAGUGGCUAGUGGUUCAGUGGUUCAGUGGUUCAGUGAGAAAGAAACAAAGGAAGGUUCAGUUUCAAAUAACCACUGGAGACAAACAUACUGCAAGUCCGUAAUCUGUAUGUCUGUGUUUUCCGAUUCCAUUCAAAGUUACAGCACAUGUAUAAGUUUCAGGAAGUGUAAGGGCCGAGUUGUUUAGAGUAUCAGGGGGCAGAAAACCCAUUAAUCUGUGUGUCUGUGUGUUCAACUUCCUCCUCGUUCAACGCUACAGCACAUGCAAAAGUUCCAGGAAGUGUAAGGGCGGAGUUGUUUAGAGUAUCAGGGGGCAGGAAACCCAUUAAUCGGUGUGUCUGUGUGUCUGUGUGUUCCACUACCUCCUCGUUCAAAGUUAUAGCACAUCCAUAAUUUCCAGGAAGUGCAAGGGCUGAGUUGUUUAGAGUAUCAGGGGGAAGGAAACACCCGUCCUUCUGCCAGGGGAUGUCUUAGUUUCAAACAACCACUGGAGACAAACACACUGCAAGUCAACGAACACCGUACCUUUAACAUGUUGGAGUUACACCCUUUAGAACACCGUACCUUUAACAUGUUGGAGUUACACCCUUUAGAACACUGUACCUUUAACAUGUUGGAGUUACACCCUUUAGAACACCGUACCUUUAACAUGUUGGAGUUACACCCUUUAGAACACUGUACCUUUAACAUGUUGGAGUUACACCCUUUAGAACACUGUACCUUUAACAUGUUGGAGUUACACCCUUUAGAACACCGUACCUUUAACAUGUUGGAGUUACACCCUUUACAGCAGGGAUCUUCAACUAGAUUCAGCUGCGGGACGAUUUUUUCUUGAGCCGAUUUCUUGACUGAA